ACGCCCUCCGGUUCUAACCUCUUUUAGCAAGAAGAAGCGAAAGCGACUGUACUGCAGAAAAAGCGCCGGCUAACUUCGUGACAGCAGCCGCUGUAAUCGUAAGGGCGCAAGCGUUGUCCGGAAUUAUUGGGCGUAAAGAGCUCGUAGGCGGUUUGUCGCGUCUGGUGUGAAAACUCAAGGCUCAACCUUGAGCUUGCAUCGGGUACGGGCAGACUAGAGUGUGGUAGGGGUGACUGGAAUUCCUGGUGUAGCGGUGGAAUGCGCAGAUAUCAGGAGGAANNNNNAUGGCGAAGGCAGGUCACNNNNNNNNNUACUGACGCUGAGGAGCGAAAGCAUGGGGAGCGAACAGGAUUAGAUACCCUGGUAGUCCAUGCCGUAAACGUUGGGCACUAGGUGUGGGGCUCAUUCCACGAGUUCCGCGCCGCAGCUAACGCAUUAAGUGCCCCGCCUGGGGAGUACGGCCGCAAGGCUAAAACUCAAAGGAAUUGACGGGGGCCCGCACAAGCGGCGGAGCAUGCGGAUUAAUUCGAUGCAACGCGAAGAACCUUACCAAGGCUUGACAUACACCGGAAUCGGCCAGAGAUGGUCGCGUCUUCGGACUGGUGUACAGGUGGUGCAUGGUUGUCGUCAGCUCGUGUCGUGAGAUGUUGGGUUAAGUCCCGCAACGAGCGCAACCCUCGUCCUAUGUUGGCAGCACGUCAUGGUGGGGACUCAUAGGAGACUGCGGGUCAACUCGGAGGAAGGCGGGGNUGACGAA
rnacentral:rRNA from 1 species